rnacentral:rRNA from 1 species
UACGAAGGGGGCUAGCGUUGCUCGGAAUCACUGGCGUAAAGCGCACGUAGGCGGAUUGUUAAGUCAGGGGUGAAAUCCUGGAGCUCAACUCCAGAACUGCCUUUGAUACUGGCGAUCUCGAGUCCGGGAGAGGUGAGUGGAACUGCGAGUGUAGAGGUGAAAUUCGUAGAUAUUCGCAAGAACACCAGUGGCGAAGGCGGCUCACUGGCCCGGUACUGACGCUGAGGUGCGGAAAGCGUGGGGAGCAAACAGGGAUUAAGAAACCCCAGUACGUAC